GUGGAGGGGGGAAUGAGAGUUCACCUCAUUUAGUAACAAUGUUAUGAGAAGUCUGGAAAUGACAGUUACUAUGGACUUCACCUUUGUGACAGCCCCUCCCUGCUCUGUCUACUGGAAUUGUUUUUCCAGGCCCACCUCCCCUCCUGUGUCAUCGAUGGCCAUCCGGUGUACAGGGUGAGACGCCUCCUGAGUGUUCGACCACGGGGCAGGGGUUUCCAGUACCUGGUUAACUGGGAGCAUUAUGGGCCAGAGGAGAGGUGUUGGGUCCCUGCUAAGGACAUCCUUGACCCGGCUCUCAUUGCCAACUUUCACCGCCGGCAUCCCCAGCCUGCCUGCCGCCCUGUACCGUUUGGAAGCUGACCUGGUUAUGAACUCUUGCCUGUCCCCGACCUGCCUCUUGCCUGACCCUCGUUG
ensembl:lncRNA